rnacentral:rRNA from 1 species
GGCGGCCGCGGGAAUUCGAUUAGAGUUUGAUCAUGGCUCAGAUUGAACGCUGGCGGCAGGCCUAACACAUGCAAGUCGAGCGGUAGAGAGAAGCUUGCUUCUCUUGAGAGCGGCGGACGGGUGAGUAAUGCCUAGGAAUCUGCCUGGUAGUGGGGGAUAACGUUCGGAAACGGACGCUAAUACCGCAUACGUCCUACGGGAGAAAGCAGGGGACCUUCGGGCCUUGCGCUAUCAGAUGAGCCUAGGUCGGAUUAGCUAGUUGGUGGGGUAAUGGCUCACCAAGGCGACGAUCCGUAACUGGUCUGAGAGGAUGAUCAGUCACACUGGAACUGAGACACGGUCCAGACUCCUACGGGAGGCAGCAGUGGGGAAUAUUGGACAAUGGGCGAAAGCCUGAUCCAGCCAUGCCGCGUGUGUGAAGAAGGUCUUCGGAUUGUAAAGCACUUUAAGUUGGGAGGAAGGGCAGUAAAUUAAUACUUUGCUGUUUUGACGUUACCGACAGAAUAAGCACCGGCUAACUCUGUGCCAGCAGCCGCGGUAAUACGAAUCACUAGUGAAUUCGCGGCCGCCUGCAGGUCGACCAUAUGGGAGAGCUCCCAACGCGU